UACGUAGGGCGCAAGCGUUGUCCGGAAUUUAUUGGGCGUAAGAGCUCGUUAGGCGGUUUGUCGCGAUCGUGCUGUGAAACCUAAGGCUCAACCUUGGGCUUGCAGUGGGUACGGGCAGACUAGAGUGCGGUAGGGGUGACUGGAAUUCCGUGGUGAUAGCGGUGGAAUGCGCAGAUAUCAGGAGGAACACCGAUCGGCGAAGGCAGGUCACUGG
rnacentral:rRNA from 1 species